rnacentral:lncRNA from 1 species
GAGCCUCUCGGAGUUGCUGCAGCCUUGGACCUCCGCCAACUAGGUAUUGCUACCCCAGAAUUCCCCGCUAAAAGCCCACCUUCCUGCCCAGACCACUUCCGGCUCCUGAUAGGCUUGAGAUUUGCAUGCCGCGCACGCGGAGUUUGUUCCUUCGGCGAGUUGGGAUGCUGCCUCCCAGCCCCGAUGCUGGUCUGCGGGUGACAGCCCUUCUCUCACACCUGCCUGUGCCUCUGGGGCUGCGAGCUGCUGCACGCUCCUUCCUUCUGGACUAAAAGAAAAAAAAAAUGGAAUUUGUCUUCCCUCUGAAAAGCAGGAUAUCAACAUGUAGAAUGAAUUUCAUAUCAUCGCUGGACUGUCUGCAAAGCACACUGGGUCUGUUACAUGACAUGACAGAAAUAAAGAAGACUCUGGGGAAAUGCAUUUUGUUUACACUCUGCUCUGCUCUAAUGCUAUUCUCAUUUAAAGAUUGUGGCAGAUCCUUAAAAAACAAGGGGCCUUAAAAAUAUUUACGAAGAAAAUUUGUUAAGAUCUCUCAAGCCUUUGAAGCAGAAAAAAAUGUUUUUUGAUCUAUGAAUGGUAUGAAGCUUUCUGACUGCAGUUGGGAAGUCAGUAGCCUGAUCCAUUGGUUCUGUGCAUCAGUGUGGCAACAUCAGCAAACAUUGUGUGAGGCAUAUUCUCCAAUGGCUUCUACAAACUGACUCCCUACCCUUCUCUGUCUGCAUUUACCCAAACAGGCUGACCUCUAUUGACUGAAUCACCCAGGCUCACUAGCCUCAUAAAUAAAAACGGAUAACUUCUUUUUGAUUUGUUUUGAUAAUAAUAUUUUGAUACUGAUAGGCUACAAUGCCCGCUAGAAAUUUAGGACCUAUAUCAUGAUAAUCUGGAUAAAAUUCAAGACACUUUAAUUUAUACUUCUGAUUAAGUUAGGAAUAAAAAAGUGAAACAUUUGAAUUGGUACCUACAAAGUAAAAUAGAAAUUCAGGCACUCUGUUUGGGUGGAACAUGACUUACAUUUGAAGAAAAUACAGAAAUAGGAGACCAGUUCUAUAUUUUUUUUCCUACUUCAAGAAAAUAGUUUAACUAUUCUGUGUUUAUUUUAAAUAAAAGCAAAAAUGCAGAUUACAAGUCCAUAUUUUUUCUUUUAUCCGAACCUCUAUUUCAGAAUAGAAUUGCAAAAAUAAUGCUACCCCACUGUGUAAAGGAAAUGAGAAAUGGAUAGACCAUUAAGGAGGAGUGUGAAUUUAUAUAGUGCAUUAGCAUCAAAGGAUAUAGCAUGGAUAUGCCUUAAAAAUUCAGUUUAAUGACACUUGGAUUUGUAUUGCUGGCUGUCUUAGAUGUUAAAUCCCUGAUGAGGUCAUAAGUGUAACCUAUCUUGCGAAAAACCUCUGAGAUGAUUUUUUUCCUUAUCAGUUUUUCACUUCGUUUAUGCAGUUUAUUUAACAAUGAAGAAAUAGUUUACAUUAAACACUCUGAACACAGGAAAUAUAAUAGCAUAUAAAUUCUUAUCUGACUAAACCAUAGCAAAGUCAGAUAAAAAUUGCCUAUGUUGUUUGAGAGUCCUAUUUCCACACAUUUUUUUUUUUGUCCAGCACCUAUUAUUACUGAGGAUUAAAGGAAGACAAUAGAAUUCUGUCUCUCUUUUUUUACCCCAUUCUCCUUUCAUAUUGCCUAGCCACUGCCCUACCGUAAAAAUAGAAAAGAGUAAAUUGGUGCAGUCAUAAAAUUUUAUACAGAUGCAUACAUAUAUUCAAAUGUAAAUUUUAGGUUUUCUCAGGCUUAAUUAUAAAAACAAUGUUUGUGUUUGAUGCUUUUAGUAUCCAGUUGUCAUGAUUUCAGAAUUGGUGAAAGAUGGUUUUCAAUGGCUUUUGAAAGUAAAUGAUGCCCAAUUGAUGAACAGGUCUGAAUUCAAAUAAAGAAUACUUGUC